rnacentral:rRNA from 1 species
GACGAACGCUGGCGGCGUGCCUAAUACAUGCAAGUAGAACGCUGAAGGAGGAGCUUGCUUCUCUGGAUGAGUUGCGAACGGGUGAGUAACGCGUAGGUAACCUGCCUGGUAGCGGGGGAUAACUAGUGGAAACGAUAGCUAAUACCGCAUAAUAGUAGAUGUUGCAUGACAUUUGCUUAAAAGGUGCAAUUGCAUCACUACCAGAUGGAACUGCGUUGUAUUAGCUAGUUGGUGAGGUAACGGCUCACCAAGGCAACGAUACAUAGCCGACCUGAGAGGGUGAUCGGCCACACUGGGACUGAGACACGGCCCAGACUCCUACGGGAGGCAGCAGUAGGGAAUCUUCGGCAAUGGACGGAAGUCUGACCGAGCAACGCCGCGUGAGUGAAGAAGGUUUUCGGAUCGUAAAGCUCUGUUGUAAGAGAAGAACGAGUGUGAGAGUGGAAAGUUCACACUGUGACGUUAUCUUACCAGAAAGGGACGGCUAACUACGUG